CCCCCCUCCAAUCAGUGAAACUGAUCUCCCCGUGAAGAAGCGGGGAUAAGUAUAUUAGACGAGAAGACCCCAUGGAGCUUUAAACCCGACAGCACCCACUUAUUUAACACCUUCUUAUCCGCCUGGCCCCUGUCUGCUCGGUUUUGGGUUGGGGUGACCGCGGAGCAUAAAAUAGCCUCCACGAAAGAAGGGAUGAUUCCCUCAUUUUAGAACUACACUUCCAAAGACUAACAAAUUAAUUUUAAGUGAUCCGAUACCCGUAUUCGAUCAACGAACCAAGUUACCCUGGGGAUAACAGCGCAAUCUACCUCAAGAGCCCCUAUCGACAGGUGGGUUUACNACCUCGAUGUUGGAUCA
rnacentral:rRNA from 1 species